rnacentral:rRNA from 1 species
GGGCUGCAGUCGAGAAUCUUCCACAAUGAGCGAAAGCUUGAUGGAGCGACGCCGCGUGCAUGAUGAAGCCCUUCGGGGUGUAAAGUGCUUUUAUAUCUGAAGAAAUCAUUUUAAUGUUUUGACGUUAAGAUAGGAAUAAGGGGUUGCUAAACUCGUGCCAGCAGCCGCGGUAAUACGAGUGCCCCGAGCGUUGUCCGGAAUCACUGGGCGUAAAGAGUGUGUAGGGGGUAUUGUUAGUCUUGUUUUAAACUUCUGUGCUUAACGCAGAAUCUGGACAGGAAACGGCAAUACUUCGAGAAUGCGAGAGGUUAACGGAACUCUGGGUGUAGGGGUGAAAUCCGUUGAUAUCCAGAGGAACACCAAAAGCGAAGGCAGUUAACUGGUGCAUUUCUGACCCUGAGACACGAAAGCGUGGGUAGCGAAAAGGAUUAGAUACCCGUGUAGUC